rnacentral:rRNA from 1 species
GAUGAACGCUGGCGGCGUGCCUAAUACAUGCAAGUCGAACGGACAGUCGCAAGACUGUUAGUGGCGAACGGGUGAGUAACGCGUUGGUACCUGCCCCAAAGCGGGGGAUACCGGACCGAAAGGUCCGUUAAUACCCCAUGUGCUCCGCGAGGAGGAAAGGCUAUGCUUCGCAAGAAGCCAGUCACUUUGGGAGGGGCCUGCGUCCCAUCAGCUAGUUGGUAGGGUAACGGCUUACCAAGGCGAUGACGGGUAGGGGACCUGAGAGGGUGACCCCCCACAAUGGAACUGAAACACGGUCCAUACACCUACGGGAGGCAG